rnacentral:rRNA from 1 species
GGGGGCCUACGGGAGGCAGCAGUGAGGAAUAUUGGUCAAUGGGCGCAAGCCUGAACCAGCCACGUCGCGUGAGGGAUGACGGUCCUAUGGACUGUAAACCUCUUUUGUCGGGGAGCAAGGCCCGCCACGUGUGGCGGGAAGGAGAGUACCCGAAGAAAAAGCAUCGGCUAACUCCGUGCCAGCAGCCGCGGUAAUACGGAGGAUGCGAGCGUUAUCUGGAUUUAUUGGGUUUAAAGGGUGCGUAGGCGGAAGGUUAAGUCAGCGGUCAAAUGUC